CAGGCUGUUUUCACUGCAGCCAGUCAUGAGGUGGGAGCCCUGGGGACGGUCUGACACUCCGCCCACUUCUGGUAAGGGGCAGGUUUUUGGAAAAUAAAAGGCAAGAAGAAGCACUGGAUUCCAAAUGUGUCUGUGUCUCCAUUGACUCCCUGGCAUCAUUCUGCUUGGCCUGGGUGCUAGAAUUGGUAUCUGAGGUACCAGUGAGUCUUGAGCAGCCUAUUCUCUUCAUUCCUUUAGAUUCUGGAUAUCAAGGAUUUGAGAUCAUGCAUCUGGAUCCCAUUCAUUUUCCCAUCCCUUCAUAUCAACCCUUUGCUCUUGCAACCUCAUCCACAAAAUAAAAU